rnacentral:rRNA from 1 species
UACGUAGGGUGCGAGCGUUGUCCGGAAUUAUUGGGCGUAAAGAGCUUGUAGGCGGUUUGUCGCGUCUGCUGUGAAAAACGCGAGGCUCAACCUCGCGCCUGCAGUGGGUACGGGCAGACUAGAGUGCGGUAGGGGAGAUUGGAAUUCCUGGUGUAGCGGUGGAAUGCGCAGAUAAUCAGGAGGAACACGAUGGCGAAGGCAGAUCUCUGGGCCGUUACUGACGCUGAGGAGCGAAAGCGUGGGGAGCGAACAGGA